rnacentral:tRNA from 1 species
UCCCUGGUAGCUCAGAGGUUAAAGCAUCUGCCUGCAAUGCGGGAGACCUGGGUUCGAUCCCUGGGUCGGGAA